AUCUGACCUCAGAUCAGGCGGGACUACCCGCUGAACUUAAGCAUAUCAAUAAGCGGAGGAAAAGAAA
rnacentral:rRNA from 1 species